rnacentral:rRNA from 1 species
UACUAUAUUUAAUAUUAAACAUUACAUAUUUGAUUAUUAAUAGAUAUGUGCUUUAAAUUCAAAGAAUUUGGCGGUAUUUUAGUCUUGUUAGAGGAACCUGUUUUAUAAUCGAUAAACCACGUAUAUUUUACUUACUUUAAAUAAUUUGUAUACCGUCAUUAUCAGAUAACUUUCAAAAAAUUAGUUAUUAAAAUUAAUAAAAUUAAAUAUAUUAGAUCAAGGUGCAGUUAAUAAAUAAGAAAAAAUGGGUUACAAUAAAAUUUAUUUAAUAAACGAAUUAUAUAAAUGAAAAAAUAUAUGAAGGAGGAUUUAAUUGUAAUUUUUUUUUAAAAUAAUAAUGUGAUAAUAGCUCUAAAAUAUGUACAUAU